rnacentral:lncRNA from 1 species
UUUCAACUUCCAGGGCCCGGACCCUCCUCCUGGCCUGGGCCACAGCCUGACAACAGGCGUGGCCGGCAGGAUCCUGUGCCGUCAGGUGAGAGAUGCCUUCCCCCUGGCAACAGCAGCCUGUGGCUCUCGGGUUCUCCACCCUGUUGGCAUGGAUUCCCGAGGAAGGUCGGGAUGCGGCGGGUGGGCUCCCUGGGAGCAGGGAGAAACCUUUAGGAGCACUGAGCUCCCACCCCGGGGCGGCCCCUCGGGAGGCAAGUGGCUGGGAUGUUUUCUUACUGCCCUGGGGGUGAGCAGGACCUGGUGGACUGUGGACCGAGUGGCCGAGCUCGGGCAGCGGCCCAUGGCCAGGAGAAGGGGAUGGAGAGAGGACGGGGAGCCCACGCACAGGGCUGGGCUGCGGGAUGGACGUCCCUUCCUGCUCUGAGCAGACAUGGGGGUGGCUUCAGAGAGCCUGUCAAGAUGAGGCAGGUGCAAGGUAAGGAAGAGGCCUCGAGACCAGAGCCCAGUCGCUGGAGGGGGACCUCCGUGCCUUGAGAACCCCUCUCGGCCUCCCCGUGGCUGAUGAGGAGGAGGGGAGGGGGAUCAACCCCUCAGGCCCUCAGUGGUAAUGGGCAGCAGUGGCCGUGGCUCCUGGGCGGGCAGCAGCCAGCAGGGCCUAGCCAGGCGGCCAGGCUCCCUCAUUCAGCCCAUCAAGCCGAGCUUGGAAGACAAUAUAGACAGAGGCCAGCAGAGCCCUGGCCUGUGAGCUUUAGGGGUGGACAACAUGUGCACUGCCCUAAAAUGGAGAGGUUCGAGACUCGCCCUACAGCACUGGGAGGGGCCGAGAGCGUCCAGGUGGGCAGGAGCCGGCGGGGGCCAGAGACCCCGGGUGCUACAUGUCAUUGAUCCUGCACAACCUCCGGGCUUAGAUGUGCCUGUAACCUGAGAGGGAUUUAGCUGGGGCUUAUGGCAGAAAUACAAAUGGCUGAGACAGACUCUGGGACGUCGGUGUCCAGUGUGAAAGGCUGCGAGCCCUCCACGUCCUGAUGGAGAAGCAGCUUACAGCUGUGCAUGCCGUUUGGUGGCCUUGGAGGACAUCACGGGUGCCACUGAAGUCUUGGUGCGUGGCCUGGAUCCCGUGGUGGGAUGGGUGUAAAGGUGGGCAAUCACCCCGAGGACUGUGUCGCCCAGAGUGAGUGUACUAGUGACAACAGAGUCCACUGUCAGCUGGCCCAUGGGCUGGACUUCAGAGGUGCUGUUGCCCAUGUCGGUGAACCAGCAAGAGGCCCAUACCUUGGAGGGGAGGUACCUCUACUGUCCGGCACUUGAUACACUGAUGGCCCCAGCGUGGACAGAUGUCUAUGUGGACAUGGUGGCUGUGGAGCCAGAGACAGACGCUGUCGGGUUGGAUUCUGGUGUAGGACAAAGUAGCCAGGGUCUGAUUCUCCCGGGCUGUGCCUGAGGACACCCUGGCUGCGGGAGUGGGCGUUCUCUUGCGCCCAGCCCUGGGCUUUUCCACAGCUACGCAGCCUGAGCCCCGCAGUCCUUCAGCCCCAUCGUAAGGCUAUGGAGCCAUGAGGCCAGUGCUCACCCAGGAUGGCGGCACUGGCUGCAGGGGUGACCCAACAGUUCCUGCACAGGUUGACUGCAACGGCCCAGUGGCCAGAAUCUGGUGCAAGAAAGAACUGUGUCCCCCAAACUGGCCCCAGUGCCAAACCACCGGCUGUUAGUCCCGCCCACUGCCCUGCCCGCCAGGCCGUUGGAGCUGCGUCUCCUGGUUUUCGGGGAGCAGCCGUGCCCUGCGCCAGUGCUGCCCCCCCAGCUGAGCCCCUAUCGAAACCUUGCCUGUGUGUUCCCCAAACGUGGCUCUGUUUCAUUCCCGUGCUCACUGAGUCAGAGGUUCCUGUCUGGUAUCAGAAGGGAAAGGGGAGGAAGUGACGCCAUCAGAUCCCAGGGAGUCUGGGCUCUGGGGCAAUCUUGAACCACAGGGGCUCCCUCAGGGGACCCUGGGACCCCGGAGGAGUCAAGCCACUGACCGUGCUCACUCCAAAGUUCAGAAGCAGGGGUGGGGGUGGCAAUACCCAGCCCCUCUCCCCCCGCCUCUGCUUUCUGCCAGCACCCCCCUUUGACCCACAAUCAUCAGAAACCAAAGGUCAAGGGGGAGGGGGUGGGGGGUAGCACAAGCCUCUAAUCCCAGCAGCUCUUGAGGCUGAGGUCAGAGGAUGGCGAGUUCAAAGCCUCAGCAGCCCAGUGAGACCCCGAGACCCCGUGUCUCUAGAUAAGCACACCAGGAUCCACUCUCCACCGGCAUAUUCCAGGAGCCAAAUCCAUAGGCUGUCACCACACGAUGACACCAACAAGACCAAAAUUGUUUCUUACUAAACUUGAGUAAUCGGUACUUGUAAUUUUGUGUCAGUGUUCAUUUAAAAAUGAAAGCAGCUAACUGGGCGCAGUGGUGCAGCCUGUAAUCCCAGUGGCUGGGGAGGCUGAGGCAGGAGGAUUGUGAGUUCAAAGCCAGCCUCAGCAAUUUAUUCAGGCUCUGAGCAACUCAGUGAGACUCUAUCUCUAAGUAAAAUACAUCAAAGGGCUGGGGAUGUGGCUCAGUAGUUAAGCACCCCUGGGUUCAAUCACCAGUACCAAAAUAAAUACAUAAAUAAAUAUUAUUAAAUUUAAUAUGAUUGGACAUUGCUGGUGGGACUGAAAAUUGGAACAAUUACUUUGGAAAGCAGUAGGGAGAUUCUUCAAAAAAAUUGGAAUGGAG